rnacentral:misc_RNA from 1 species
UACAGAGGUCCCGAGCGUUGUUCGGAUUCACUGGGCGUAAAGGGUGCGUAGGUGGCAAGGUAAGUCGGAUGUGAAAGCUCCGGGCUCAACCCGGAAAUGGCAUUGGAAACUACCUGGCUGGAGGUUUGGAGGGGGGACUGGAAUUCUCGGUGACGCAGUGAAAUGCGUAGAUAUCGAGAGGAACACCAGUGGCGAAGGCGAGUCCCUGGACAACACCUGACACUGAGGCACGAAAGCUCGGGGAGCAAACAGG